rnacentral:rRNA from 1 species
GACGUAGGGUGCGAGCGUUGUCCGGAUUUAUUGGGCGUAAAGAGCUCGUAGGCGGUCUGCCGCGUCGAUCGUGAAAACUUGGGGCUUAACCCUGAGCUUGCGGUCGAUACGGGCAUGACUGGAGUUCGGCAGGGGAGACUGGAAUUCCUGGUGUAGCGGUGAAAUGCGCAGAUAUCAGGAGGAACACCGGUGGCGAAGGCGGGUCUCUGGGCCGAUACUGACGCUGAGGAGCGAAAGCGUGGGGAGCGAACAGG